rnacentral:rRNA from 1 species
GACGAAGGAUGCAAGCGUUAUCCGGAUUCAUUGGGUUUAAAGGGAGCGUAGGCGGCCCUAUAAGUCAGUGGUGAAAUCUCUCGGCUCAACCGAGAAAUUGCCAUUGAUACUGUAGGGCUUGAGUACAGUUGCCGUUGGCGGAAUAUGACAUGUAGUGGUGAAAUACAUAGAGAUGUCAUAGAACACCGAUUGCGAAGGCAGCUAACGAAGCUGUAACUGACGCUGAGGCUCGAAAGUGCGGGGAUCAAACAGG